AUCCCAUGGUAAGGGCAUUAAUGGGAUAACUCUUUCAAUCUUUCCCAAGCAUAGUAUAGGGAUUCAUCAUCCAUUUCUUGAAAAGUAGUGAUCUUAUUCUGCCACU
rfam:Gossypium raimondii chromosome 12, whole genome shotgun sequence.